UUGAUCGGUUUUGGAUAGAUGUAUUUCCCUUCUAGACAAGAGCCAGAAAUAAACGUGUGGCCUACACUAUAACGGGGCGUUGGCGAUGACUAGUCCUCGGCUAUGAGUUGUCACUGUAUGGCCACUUGCUAUACCACAGUGUAUGGCCACAGACUAUCACAAUAUAUUGUCAGUGAGCAAGGGCGAAUAUGAGACAAGCAUUCCAGGAUAUACAAACACACUGUUACACAUGAUGGAUUUAUGGAGGAACACAUCAAAUAAUCCAGGAGCUGUGAAUUAUAAAUAUGGAUGACUGCAAAAGCAAAGAAGAAGAUAAUGAAACAAACUGAAAAAGUGUACACGUUUCCAGAAUUAUUAAUAAAAUUGUUGAUUACAA